AUGGACUGGAGCUGGAGAGCACUCUUCCUGGUGGCAUUGGCUACAGGUAUCCAUGCCCAAGUGCAACUGGUCCAGUCUGGGGCUGAGGUGAGGAAGCCUGGGGCCUCAGUGAAGGUCUCUUGCAAGGCUUCUGGAUACACCUUCACCAGCUACAUUAUUGACUGGGUGCGACAGGCCCCAGGACAAGGGCUUGAGUGGAUGGGAAUAGUUAACCCUAACAAUGGUGGCACAAACUAUGCACAGAAGUUCCAGGGCAGAGUCACCAUGACAGCAGACAAGUCCACGAGCACAGCCUACAUGGAGCUGAGCAGUCUGGGAGCCAAGGAUACAGCCAUGUACUACUGUGCCUCAGGCACAGCGAAGGGAACACAGCAUGAGCCCAGACACAAACCUCCCUGCAGGAGGGGCUGGUAA